rnacentral:rRNA from 1 species
CCUACGGGGGGCAGCAGUAGGGAAUCUUCCGCAAUGGGCGAAAGCCUGACGGAGCAACGCCGCGUGAGUGAUGAAGGUUUUCGGAUCGUAAAGCUCUGUUGCCAAGGAAGAACGUCCUUAAGAGUAACUGCUUAAGGAGUGACGGUACUUGAGAAGAAAGCCCCGGCUAACUACGUGCCAGCAGCCGCGGUAAUACGUAGGGGGCAAGCGUUGUCCGGAAUUAUUGGGCGUAAAGCGCGCGCAGGCGGUCAUUUAAGUCUGGUGUUUAAGCCCGGGGCUCAACCCCGGAUCGCACGGGAAACUGGAUGACUUGAGUGCAGAAGAGGAGAGUGGAAUUCCACGUGUAGCGGUGAAAUGCGUAGAGAUGUGGAGGAACACCAGUGGCGAAGGCGACUCUCUGGGCUGUAACUGACGCUGAGGCGCGAAAGCGUGGGGAGCA